rnacentral:rRNA from 1 species
ACGGAGGAUCCGGGCGUUAUCCGGAAUUACUGGGUUUAAAGGGUGCGUAGGCGGGGGUUUAAGUCGGCGGUGAAAUGCAGCGGCUCAACCGGUGGGAGGCCGUUGGGACUGGGGGUCUUGGAUACGGUCGGGGCGGGUGGAAUUCGUGGUGUAGCGGUGAAAUGCAUAGAUAUCACGAGGAACGCCGGUAGCGAAGGCAGCUCGCCGGGCCGGUAUUGACGCUGAGGCGCGAAAGCGUGGGGAUCGAACAG